UCUGGUGCUGUGAUUAUAAAGAACAUUCCUCGUACUGAAUGCUGUCAAAAUCGGCAUGAUAGACUCCUUCUACACCCAUAGAAUAUGAGCACCA
rfam:Ananas comosus cultivar MD2 ACMD2_Scaffold_851, whole genome shotgun sequence.